rnacentral:rRNA from 1 species
UACGAAGGGGGCUAGCGUUGCUCGGAAUCACUGGGCUUAAAGGGCGCGUAGGCGGGCUGCCAAGUCUGGGGUGAAAUCCCACGGCUCAACCGUGGAACUGCCUCGGAUACUGGCGGCCUCGAGGGAGGUAGGGGCGUGCGGAACUGUGGGUGGAGCGGUGAAAUGCGUUGAUAUCCACAGGAACUCCGGUGGCGAAGGCGGCCCCCCUGGUUGGAUACUGACGCUGAUACGCGAAAGCGUGGGGAGCAAACAGG